rnacentral:rRNA from 1 species
UACGUAGGGGCCUAGCGUUGUCCGGAUUUAUUGGGCGUAAAGAGCUCGUAGGCGGUUCGGCACGUCGGAUGUGAAAUCUCCACGCUUAACGUGGAGGGGCCAUUCGAAACUGCCGUGACUCGAGUCCGGUAGGGGUGUGUGGAAUUCCCGGUGUAGCGGUGAAAUGCGCAGAUAUCGGGAGGAACACCAGUAGCGAAGGCGGCUUCCUGGCCUGUUCUUGACGCUGAGGCGCGAAAGCUAGGGGAGCAAACGGG